rnacentral:rRNA from 1 species
UACGUAGGGGGCUAGCGUUGUUCGGAAUUACUGGGCGUAAAGCGCACGUAGGCGGACUGUUAAGUCAGGUGUGAAAUCCCGGGGCUCAACCCCGGAACUGCCUUUGAUACUGGCAUUCUCGAGUCCGGAAGAGGUGAGUGGAAUUCCGAGUGUAGAGGUGAAAUUCGUAGAUAUUCGGAGGAACACCAGUGGCGAAGGCGGCUCACUGGUCCGGUACUGACGCUGAGGUGCGAAAGCGUGGGGAGCAAACAGG